CAUGUGCGGACGAUGGCUUCUGUCA
rnacentral:piRNA from 1 species